rnacentral:rRNA from 1 species
AGUCACUGACAUUAGAUACCGUGUAGUCCAGGGUGUAAACGCUGCAGACUUGGUGUUGGAGGCCCUUUGGGGGCAUUCAGUGCCGGAGAGAAGUUGUUAAGUCUGCUACUUGGGGAGCACGUCCGCAAGGAUGAAACUUAAAGGAAUUGGCGGGGGAGCACCGCAACGGGAGGAGCGUGCGGUUUAAUUGGAUUCAACACCGUAAAACUCACCAGGGAAGACUGUUACAUGAAGGCCGAGAUGAAGACUCUGCUAGAUUUUCAG